rnacentral:piRNA from 1 species
UUAAAUCACAAAUAACUUAUUUCUGUAA